rnacentral:misc_RNA from 1 species
GAUGAAGAACGUAGCGAAAUGCGAUGAGUAAUGUGAAUUGCAGAAUUCAGUGAAUCAUCGAAUCUUUGAACGCACCUUGCGCUCCUUGGCAUUCCGAGGAGCAUGCCUGUUUGAGUGUCAUUAAAUUCUCAAGACCUGUCUGCUUUUUUGAUAGGUAUUGGAUUUUGGGGGUUGCAGGCUGUUUCAAAUAAAUAGCCUUGCUCUCCUUGAAUGUAUUAGUGGAGAAAAGCCAUUGAACUCCAUUGGUGUGAUAAAACCUAUCAAUGCCAGGAGCAAUAUCACUACUUCUCUCUGCUGUCUAACUGUGACUGUCUGUAUUAAUUAGUAUGGAUGGGGACAACUUGACCAACUUGACCUCAAAUCAGGUAGGACUACCCGCUGAACUUAAGCAUAUCAAUAAGCGGAGGA